CGUGCCCCGGCCCGCCCACUGUUUUCCUUGGUGCGUUUCUCUUUAAAUGCAAAUAAGUGCAGGCGUGGUGUUGGCAGGGGGCGGAGAGGGUGCGGAACCACUGGCUGGGGCUCCCCACUCCCGCCCCCACGCCGGGCUGGUAGUGGCGUGGCUACACCGUGGCCUCAAGGAGCCAGUCCUGCCCGGAUGGGGCUCGCCGGAUCGGUUUCGGUUUUCACGCACUCCCAUUUCUGUGGCCGCUGUGCAUUCGCGGAGUGUUCUCUGCUGCUUCUGGGUCCUGACAGUCUUGAAAAGAUCCAGCUGCUGAACUGCCUUGUUAGGAACCACUGCUGUGGAACUGGUGCAGUCAUUUGGAGUAGCCAUGUUGCUCACAGCUUGAGGUGCAGCAGUCUGAACCACCCGGCGGCUGAGAAGAGGAACCAAAUGAGGAACUAUUCCAGAGUCUACUACCAUCUGUAUUUGUUCAUUGCCAGCACCAGUAAGGAAGGGAGGAAGAGAGGAAAUCAGGUGUACUUCAGAGGUCUCUGAAUCCAUCUACUGUCCUGAUUUGCCACAAUUAUUGGUAACAAGUUAGAUGCACUGCAAUAAUAAAUAAAAGAAGUGACACCUGGCUCUAGAAUACCAACCAGUGUAAUGAUAUUCAUCAGUCACAUCCAUGUCCCAAGCAAGUCCUGCCCCUUGUGUCAUUGCCCCCAACAGCAGAGAGCAUUCAUCAUGAAAACAACUGCUGUGCCCUGUAUGUAUUAAAAACGGCAGGCUUUUAUGACAAGCCUCUCUAAUUUAGGUCUCUUCUUUAAAGUAAUAAGCGAGAAAAUAUGUAACAGGAGGAAGGAAGGGGAAUGGUGGAAUACUUUUGUGUCAAGAUGUACAAGGUCAUUGAAGGUUAAGUGUUAAAAAUACAAUCCAGACUAGCCUUGAACUUAUGCCUCUCCACACCCUACUUCUCCAUGUGCCUCCAACUAAAGCAAAUUUCAGACUUGGAAAGGAAUCCUGCAUCUUGCAGUCCCCACAUCUAUCAUUUUUAAAUGCUGAAAGCACUCAAGAGUUAGAAGGAACCUUCCAGAUUGAUACCAGCAUUUCUUAAGGCAUGUUCUAUGAAUCCUAGUUCCACAGAUGUUAAUAGGCAUGUACACACAUGCACACACACAGUUCUGUGGUCAGCAUAGGGGAACACUGGGUGAAACAAACAUAAGCAGGUUUAUUGCAGGGCUUCUCGGAGCCUUUAAUAGGUGAACGUUCACUAUGAAUCUCCACAGUGUUUGUGGUGUUAAUAUAUUUUACCUUAGAAUCAUUUUUUUAAAACAAAUUAUCUUGUGGGACUAGUGUUCAUCAGGAACAUAGUUUAGGAAAUGCUAGUAUAUCCACUCAGCUCAUUUUAUUGAAGCACUAUAGUACAUGGGUAAAGAGCACAAACUUGGGUCACAGACUGUUUGGCUUCGUAUUUC
rnacentral:lncRNA from 1 species